GGCAUGGUAGCCGAGUGGGUAAAGUAUUUAUUCGGUAUAGAAGACCGAUGGUUCGAUUCCAUCCUGGAGCAUGUUA